rnacentral:rRNA from 1 species
AGAGUUUGAUCCUGGCUCAGAACGAACGCUGGCGGCAUGCCUAACACAUGCAAGUCGGACGCUUUGGGGGUUUCGGCCCCUGGGGAGUGGCGCACGGGUGAGUAGCGCGUGGGAACCUGUCCUUUUGUGGGGGAUAACCGAGGGAAACUUCGGCUAAUACCGCAUGCGCCCCCGGAGAGAUCCGGGGGGAAAGAUUGAGUCGCAGAGGGAGGGGCCCGCGUCGGAUUAGGUUGUUGGUGGGGUAACGGCCUACCAAGCCGAUGAUCCGUAGCUGGUCUGAGAGGAUGAUCAGCCACACUGGGACUGAGACACGGCCCAGACUCCUACGGGAGGCAGCAGUGGGGAAUAUUGGACAAUGGGCGCAAGCCUGAUCCAGCAAUGCCGCGUGAGUGAUGAAGGCCUUCGGGUUGUAAAGCUCUUUGGGCGGGGACGAUGAUGACGGUACCCGCAGAACAAGCCCCGGCAAACUUCGUGCCAGCAGCCGCGGUAAUACGAAGGGGGCGAGCGUUGUUCGGAAUUACUGGGCGUAAAGGG